rnacentral:rRNA from 1 species
AGUGAACGCUGGCGGCAGGCCUAACACAUGCAAGUCGAGCGGCAGCGGGUUCCCGCGAGGGGAUGCCGGCGAGCGGCGGACGGGUGAGGAACACAUCGGAAUCUGCCUGGUUGUGGGGGAUAACGUAGGGAACUUACGCUAAUACCGCAUGAGACCCUGAGUCGACGGACUGGGGGUGAAAGUGAGGGACCUUCGGGCCUCACGCGACCAGAUGAGCCGAUGUCGGANAGCUAGUUGGCGGGGUAACGGCCCGCCAAGGCGACGAUCCGUAGCUGGUCUGAGAGGAUGAUCAGCCACACUGGGACUGAGACACGGCCCAGACUCCUACGGGAGGCAGCAGUGGGGAAUCUUGGACAAU